UAGAUACCCCACUAUGCUCAGCCCUAAACUUUGAUAGUCUAACACACUCACUAUCCGCCUGGGUACUACGAGCUUUAGCUUAAAACCCAAAGGACUUGGCGGUGCUUAAGAUCCACCUAGAGGAGCCUGUUCUAUAACCGAUACCCCCCGUUUAACCUCACUCUUUCUUGUUCAUUCCGCCUAUAUACCGCCGUCGUCAGCUCACCCUGUGAAGGCCCUGUAGUAAGCAAAAUUGGCACGACCCAAAACGCCAGGUCGAGGUGUAGCGUAUGAAAGAGGAAGAAAUGGGCUACAUUUCCUAAACAGGAAACACGGACAAUAAACUAAAAUAUGUAUUAGAAGGAGGAUUUAGCAGUAAAUGAGAAACAGAGAGUCUCAUUGAAAUCGGCCCUAAAGCGCGCACACACCGCCCG
rnacentral:rRNA from 1 species